GACGUAGGGCGCGAGCGUUGUCCGGAUUUAUUGGGCGUAAAGAGCUCGUAGGCGGCUUGUCGCGUCGACUGUGAAAACCCGCGGCUCAACCGUGUGGUCUGCAGUCGAUACGGGCAGGCUAGAGUUCGGUAGGGGAGACUGGAAUCCUGGUGUAGCGGUGAAAUGCGCAGAUAUCAGGAGGAACACCCGUGGCGAAAGCGGCUCUCUGGGACGGUACUGACGCUGAGACGCGAAAGCGUGGGGAGCGAACAGG
rnacentral:rRNA from 1 species